ACUGGGCAUCACUGACGCUGAGCUCGAAGCAUGGUAGCAAACAGGAUUAGAUACCCUGGUAGNCAUGCUGUAAACGAUGAUUACUAGGUGUGGGAAGAUUGACCCUUUCCGUGCCGCAGUUAACACAAUAAGUAAUCCACCUGGGGAGUACGACCGCAAGGUUGAAACUCAAAGGAAUUGACGGGGGCCCGCACAAGCAGUGGAGUAUGUGGUUUAAUUCGAAGCAACGCGAAGAACCUUACAGGUCUUGACAUCCAACGACCGCCUAAGAGAUUAGGCUUUCCUUCGGGACGUUGAGACAGGUGGUGCAUGGUUGUCGUCAGCUCGUGUCGUGAGAUGUUGGGUUAAGUCCCGCAACGAGCGCAACCCUUAUUACUAGUUACUACGCAAGAGGACUCUAGUGAGACUGCCGUUGACAAAACGGAGGAAGGUGGGGAUGACGUCAAAUCAUCAUGCCCUUUAUGACCUGGGCUACACACGUACUACAAUGGCUAUUAACAGAGAGAAGCGAGACCGCAAGGUGGAGCAAACCUCAGAAAAAUAGUCUCAGUCCGGAUUGGGGGCUGCAACCCGCCCCCAUGAAGCCGGAAUUGCUAGUAAUCGCGGAUCAGCAUGCCGCGGUGAAUACGUUCCCGGGCCUUGUACACACCGCCCGUCACACCAUGAGAGCCGGGGGGACCCGAAGUCGGUAGUCUAACCGCAAGGAGGACGCCGCCGAAGGUAAAACUGGUGAUUGGGGUGAAGUCGUAACAAGGUAACCGUAAAGGGCGAAUUC
rnacentral:rRNA from 1 species